ACCGGGGGGAUCCACCUCUUUCCAUUCCGAACAGAGAAGUUAAGCCCCUGAGUGCCGAUGGUACUGCCUUAUGGUGGGAGAGUAGGUUGGCGCCGAAU
rnacentral:rRNA from 1 species